GAGCGGAGGUGGGAAGCGAGGCUUGAGGAAGAGGGGCAGCCGGCAGCAGGGGCUGAUGUCUCUGAGAAGAGAAGCCCAUCCGUGAAAGGCCGAAACUUCAAAUAUUCAACUUGCAUACCUGGGGAUCCUUGUGUUCUUUUGCUAGCAUUUGUUUUAAGUAUGCAGGGCCCACUCCCACAUUCUCUGAACCCUGCCUGUCCUGGACGCCAGGAGCUUUGGUCUCCAUCACUGGGAGAGGUGUCUCCAGGAGGUCUGCCCGUGGCGUACGUGUGCUGUCUGCCCAGCACCACCAGUUCUGGGAGCAGCACGGCCUGUUUCCUGGAAGCUACAUCCACGUGCAUUGCAUCCAUACGACUCCUGUGUGCUUUGUUCCCAGGAUUGGUUAUGGGCUUGGGCCUGACUCAAGACUGCGUGACUGCAGGGCUCAGCCUGACUGUUACUAAAGUGUGCCCCAUUCCCUGAACGUGUAGACUUGGGCAGUGAAGGAGGGGGAGCCCUCUCUCUUUUUGACUGUGGCUAGGCAAUAAAAGUCUAGGAAGCUCUCAGCAGCCAGGGAGGAAGGCAGGCGCUGGAGCGAUAGGGGCCAGUGGGGCCAGGAUGAGGGAGAAUUUCCUACAGCGCUGGUGUUCCAGUUCUGAUGAGCCUCAGGCCCACAGGCAUCAUGGCCCCCCACGCAGCUACCCUGGCUUCUGUGGCAAAGGACGAAGAUGAACCCUGGCAUGAUUUCAUUGUUUUAUUAAAUUUCAUUGUCUCCUUUUCACUUAUCUUAUUCAAGUUGGGUUUCUUUCACUUGCUAAUAAAAGUCUGAGCAGAUAGAUUACUAAAAAUGAUUUUGUUUCACCGACUUUAACUCAUUCCAGCAUUAUUUACUGAGGCACCGCUGUGUGCUAGGUGGCAUUCCAGGUGCUGCGUAUUUAUCCAGGAGCCAGCCAGAAGCCCCACCCUGUGGAGUCUGUGUCUUCACCUACAGGAAAUUGCUCAUCCCGUCAUGGAUUCACAGACACUUACUGAAUUCCUAAUAAAUAAACUCUUCAUUCAGUAGCGUUAAAUAAGUUUCUUGAAGCUAGACUGUUGAUAUUUUGAGAGAUAUUGUCCAUACUCCUGGUCACCUCUGAUUUAAGGGCAUGCAGGACCUGAGCAUUUUACCAACCUACUUAGUGCAUUAGCCAGGGUUCUCUAGAGGGACAGAACUCAUAGGAUCUAUGUAUAUAUGAAAAGGGAGUUUAUUAAGGGGAAUUGACUUACAUCAAGAGUGGUUUGCCAGGGGCUCUCGGGCCUUUGGCCACAGACUGAAGGCUGCGCUGUCGGCUUCCCGACUUUUGAGGUUUUGGGACUCCUCGGACUGAGCCACCACUGGCUUCCUUGCUCCUCGACUUGGAGGCAGACUUUCAUGGGACUUCACCUUGUGAUCCUGUGAGUCCGUUCUCCUUAAUAAACUCCCUUUCAUGUACACAUAUAUCCUAUUAGUUCUGAGGAAGAGUGGAAGUUGCACUUAACUGAGAACGUGUUUAGUCAUUUCCCAUUAUGCAAAACACUGCGGGGAUUUCUCCAGCCCUGCUAUUAUGUGGGAGAACAGGUCUCAGGUAAAAGUUCAAAAUUAUCGAAGUGAAGAAAGUAAUUCACUAAAGGGUCUGAUGAUCAAGCUUGUCAGCUGCUAAUAAGACAGCUGAGAAGAAGACUGAGCUGAAUGUUGCACGUGGAAAUGCCAAAGUCUUCACUGAUGUCAAUAAAAAUAAAAAAAAAUAAAAAAAUAAAAAUAAAAAUAAAAAAAAAUAAAAAAAUAAAAAAAAAAAACUGGUUUUGAUGCACAGGUGAGACUAAUAUCUCUAAUUGUCAAUUGUCCAUAAUUAUUGAUAAAUUAGCUUUCCCUCCGCCUUUUAAAGUCUGGAGUUUGGGCUGCUAUGCCAUUCUUAUCUAGUGCCAAUAUUUACAACACAAAGAAAUUUAGCAUGUUUUAAACAAAUAACACUACUUAUAAGUAGAAUUCAAGUCUUUGUCUAAUCCAAUGUACAAAAAAAAUUGUAUUUAUGUCCUGAGUUUCACAAUUUUUCAUCUUAAACUAUUUCAGUUUCUCAAUUUUUAAUCACUUGUUCUGGCCACAGAACCAGCCAACAAUUCACGCGCUGGACAUGUUAUUUGAAUGUAUGGUUUUCUGUUGUGUUUGGAUGGGACUUACUUUCUAUUAUUAGUCUAUUAUUUCUAAGUGAAGGACAUGCUAAAAAUGCCUCCAAAACCCAUCGUAUAAUUCAUCCUCCUGGUGUCUUACUUUGUAGUCUUAGGAUUAAAGGGAGAUCAUUCUGAAACAUCGAAAUUUGCAUGUUAAAGGGGACUGCCUGAAAGGAGGAAGCGCUUUUCUCAGGAAACCAUAAUUACACAACAGAAUAAGAAAGUGGUGAUCGCAGUGGCCUGCGCCUAAACACCGCCUUCUUCAGGAUCGUAAAUUCCUAAGAAUCCAGAGCCGAAAGAGACCCUGCAGAUAGAAAAUCAAGUUCAAGCCUGUCGUUUAAACGAUGGGAACUUGAUGCACACACACAAGGAAAUUAACCGACUUUCAUAGGUUAACUUUGCCCAGUGAUGACUGAGAAUACCUAAAAUAAAUGACUUUCCAUGAGUCCUUGUAUGAAGAUUCUGGGUGACAGGGGAAAUGAAUUAGAAAUGGGUAAAUAUACAUGCACCCCAGUUACAUAGCAGCAAAAUCAGAGCUUGGAAUUCCUGCCUCUUUCCUAAUGCUGUGACUGACCUCCACUGCAAUGCUGAGUUGCACUAAUUAGUUCUCAUCCAGAUUCGCCGUCACGUUUUCUAAAGUCCCAUUCCUAAAUAUACUCUUCUAGUCACCUCAGAUGUGAAGAUUUAAGAAUAGACACUUUGUGUGAGCCGAGGUUGUGCCACUGCACUCCAGCCUGGGCGACAGAGCCAGACUCCAUCUCAAAAAAACAAAAAAGAAUAGACACUUUGUAUGUCUUUAUUAAUCACAAUUUGGGGAAUAUGCAACGCAUAUAGAAUGAAGAGUAUCCGCAAAUGGUUAAAUGCCACAAGUACACUUUAAAAAUAAAAUCAGAACCCGGGUCAGGCAUGGUGGCUCAUGCCUGUAAUCCCAGCACUUUGAGAGGCCAAGGCAGGUGGAUCACCUGAGGUCAGGAGUUUGAGACCAGCCUGACCAACACGGUGAAACCCCAUCUCGACUAAAAAAUACAAAAAUUAGCAGGCGUGGUGGUGGGUGCCUGUAAUCCCAGCUACUCGGGAGGCUGAGGCAGGAGAAUCACUUGAACCCAGGAGGCGGAGGUUGCAGUGAGCCAAGAUCAUGCCAUUGCACUCCAGCCUGGGCAACAGAGCAAGAUUCUGCCUCAAAAAAAAAAAAAAAAAAAUCAGAACACACUGGAGGACGUUAGUAAACCCAGCUGUCAGAAAAUGUUUAAAUAUAGGGCAAGUAAGCAAAGUCCUCAUCUAUCAAUCUCUGUUUUCAGACUCUUCAUCUUAGUGCACUCUGGCUGCCAAAACAAAAUAGCAUAAACUGGACUGCAUAUAAAUAGCAUAAAUAAAUUUCUCACGAUGUGAGAGGCUGGGAAGUCCAACACACCAGCGAUUUCAUGUUCCAGUUCAUAAACAGCAUCUUCCCACUGCAUCCCCACAUGGUGGAAGGUGCAGAGCAGCUCUCUGGGGCCUCUUUCAUGAGGCCAUUCAUCCCAUUCAUGAGGGCUCCACCCUCCUGAUCUAAUCCCCUUCCAACCCAUGUCCUACUACCAUCCCUUUGAGGGUUAGGAUUUUAACAUGAAUUUAGGGGCAAUACAGGUAUUUGGACCAUAGCAGAUAUUUACUACAAUAAUAGCCUUUUAACCACAUCUUCAUAUAACACAAUAGAUCAAAUGAUCAAAAAAUUAGUGUUAUUCAUAUAAAAAUAUACAUACAUUCUAAUCAUGAAUAAGCAAAAAAAAAAAAAAAAAAAAAGCUGAAAUUCUGUCAUAAAACAACAGGAAUGUAUUCCCCCACAGUUCUGGAGGCCCGAGGUCUGAGGUCAGGUGUAAGGGCCGCCUUCCCUCUGAAGGCUCUGAGGGAGGACCUGUCCUUCCUCCCCAGCUCCAGGCAGUACCUGCGUUCCUUCGUUAGUGACAGCCUCGCUCCCACCUCUGCCUCUGUCAGCGCGUGGUGUCCUAAGCUAUGUGUGUGUAUGUGCCACAUUUCCCCCUUUGUGUGAAGACACCAGCCAUUGCCUUGGGGCCCAUCCAAAUCCAGGAUGACCUCAUCUUGGUUAAUUACACCUAUUUCCAAAUAAGGUAACAUUCAGAGGUUCCAGGUGAACAUGGAUUUUUGGAGGCCACCUUUCAGCCCAGCACAUGAACAUUCUACAAAAUAACUGGCCAGUAGCCCUCAAAAACCUGAAGAUCUUAAAAAAGAAAGAUUCAGACACUGUCACAAAUAAGAACAGGGGUCCCCAAUCCCUGGUCCGUGGCCUGUUAGAAAUCAGGCCACACAGCAAGAGUUGAGUGGCAGGCCAAGGAGCAUUACCACCUGAGCUCUGCCUCCCAUCAGAUCAGUGGCAGCAUUCGAUUCUCAUAGGAGGCCAGACCCUAUUGUGAGGGACCUAGGUCAUGCACUCCUUAUGAGAACCUAAUGCCUGAUGAUCUGAGGUGGAACAGUUUCAUCCUGGAAACAUCCCCCAGACCCCCAUCCAUGGAAAAAUUGUCUUCCACAAAACCUGUCCCUGGUGCCAAAAUGGUUGGGGACCACUGGAUUAGAAGACAGAAAAAGACAAGGCAACUCAUUCACCUAAUCCUAAGCCGGAUGUUGCCCCAGAAAAGGCCAUUAGUAGGACAACUGAAGGGAUCUGAGUAAGGUCUGUGGAGGGCUUCAUAGCAGGUGCCAAAGUGAGUUCCUUGGUUUCCAUGUUGUACAACAGUUAGGUAUGUCCUUCAUAUUAGAAAGCUGGGUCACCAGUAUACCAGAAAUCUCUGUACUAUUUUCACAGCUUUUCUGUAUGUCCAAAAUAUAUUUUAAACAAAAUGUUUAAACAUUAGUAUGACUAAAGAAGAUGGACACUGCACAGCUAAGACGUUUUAAUGUAAUAGAAUGUAAAGAACCUUGCAUUCCACAAUUUGAAAGCACACAUUCUUUCCCUGCACACUAAGAACGGUUAUAAAAACCACCUGCAAAGCAGACCACAAAGCAAUUCUCAACAAAUACCCAAGAAUUGGGAUCAAAUGAAGCACAUCCACCAUGAGGCUAUAAAAUUAGAAAAUUAUGACAAAAAGAUAACUACAGCCUGCCCUAUGUACAUGUGGACAUCACACAUAUAAACACAUACUUUUACACACACACAAAAUCAGGGCCAAAGAAAAAGCCAAAAAGAAAAUGAUUAUUUUAAGUGAGCAGAAAUGAAAUCCAUGUGGGAUAAUGCAAGGAUGGAAAGAGACUCGUAGUCAUCAAUACAUAUGUCAGGAAAAAAGAUGGGCACUGAGCUUCAAAAGAAGAAGCUAAGUGAGCAAUCAGUAAAAUUAGUAAUGAAUAAAGAAGCCCCAGAGAACAAGGGAGACAGAAGCUACAGUGUUCACUGCAGCAGACUCUUUAGCAUUCAAAAGUGGAAAAACCCUGACUGUCCAUAGCAGAGGAAGACAGACGCUAGGGUUUAUCCACGUAAUAGCAUACACGACAGCUGUCAUGAUGGGUGAGCUGGAGCUACCUGUGCAUAGCAGCUACAUCUCAAAAGCAAAAUGUGAAACAAAAAGCAAGUGACAUAAAGGCACAUAUAGGCUAAUGCAAUUUAUGUGUUUUAAACACACAGAAUACCUGGAAAGCACAAAGUAUGGGAUAUUUUUAGAAGCAAACAAGUAUCAUACAAGUGCAAAAGCUUGCCUGAUCAUGGUACUCACUUACUUCAGAAGAGUGAUUAUUUCUCAGAGGAGAGAAUGAGAGCAGGAAUUAAUGAGCUUCAGCUUUUUCAGUGUUGCUAUUUAUUAAAAAAAGAAAGGAAGGAAAGAAAGGAA
rnacentral:lncRNA from 1 species